ACCGCUUGAGUGUUACUAAUGAGAGCAGUGUCCAGCUUGAUGGCUACAUUUUCAACUCCACCCCUAACUGCAAGCGUCUACUCUCGCCGAUCGCCAUCUGUAGCUGUGCGUCAAGCUGUGCUUCUAGUCUAUCUUCUCUUUGGUUGUCUUAGUCAUGUUGUGCUUUUGUUCUUUGUUGUGCAUUGAUGUUGUAACCCGCUGUUUAUGACCGAGAUGGUCACAUCACAAGGCUCAGCGUCUCUCCAGUUUUUGCAAUUUUGCAGUAUUAUUCCUGCUCAUCUUGGGUCUGUACGUACUGAACAGCUUUGCUUUAACAUCAUACACCCGACAGGAGCUUUUGGAUAUCAGUGAGGACUUUUCCAACAGUUUUAUCACCAAUCUUCUACUCAUCCCUGAGAUCGCUAGAACACCCGAGGCUACGCACUCUACCCAGCCGGGCGGAAGUGUUCUCAGGCGGCGUCGAGAUCGUAAACAAAGGUGGGGGAACCGCGGAGGUCUCAGCAAUUUCCUCGCUAAUGUGCGGUCACUGGUGAACAAAAUGGAUGAGUUACGACUUCGCAUCACCCACAGUAAGAGACUUUUGGACUGCAAUGUCAUGGUUUUCACAGAAACAUAGCUACACAGCGACGUACCCAAUAAUGCUAUUGAGCUAGCCGGAUGCUACACGUUCCGGGCAGAUAUAAAAAAAAUAAAAGAAAUUAAAAACAGUGCUCCCCAAAUUUCACCAGCAUGUUUCCUGCCACACCAGAAGAGACAAAACUGCAAAAAUAGGAGCACAGAGGAUGCAGUAUGCACAGUGCUGCACUCUGCAUUCACACAACUUGACCAUAACAACACGUAUGUUAGGAUGUUAUUUGUUGACUUCAGUUCAGCAUUUAACACUGUCAUUCCCUCCAAGCUGACCACAAAACUCGGAGACCUGGACAUUAACACCUCCCUCUGCAAUUGGAUUAUGGACUUUCUGACCAAAAGGCCUCAGCAUGUUCAGUCAGGCCACACCCACUCCACUACCAUCACACUUAACACUGGCGUACCACAGGGCUGUGUGCUGAGCCCAUUCCUCUACUCCCAGAUGUCGUGAGUCUCGCCCCUCCCUAGUUUCCACCUCGAGGAGGUCCCAAGAACACCCCAAUGACCAGACACACGAGAGAGAGUAUAAUUAAAACAACUUUAUUUAAAUUAUUUAAAAAGGUGUGAAGGGAGGCCUUCCAGUCCCUGCACGCAGAGUAAAGAAGGCAAGUAAUUCUGAUGAAUUUGGGUGGGGUGCGUACCUGACGCUGUUUGCCACAAGAUUCUGGGUCCGCGGUUGGAAACACCUAAAAGGUCCACAGGUAAGUAUGCAGGUGAAUAUAUUGGGGUCUUGGCCUUCGGUGUAUAGUUAAAUAUGCAAGAAAGAUACACAAUCCUUAACUUUGAUUUUUGUCCAGGUAAACCCUACGGAUGGAGUUUACAGGUGAGUAUGCAAGGGCGACGCACUGGUAUUUCACUCGGAGCGUACAGGUAAGUAUGCAGAAGGACAACUGGGUCUUUACUUUGGACGUACAGGUGAGUAUACAAGGGCAACUAGAGCUUGACUCUGGGCAUACAAGUAAGUAUACAAGGACAAUACGCUGGCUCUUAGCUUUAGGCGUACAGAGAGGUAUACAGGGGCAACUGGAGCUUGCUCUGGGCAUGCAGGUGGGUAUACAGUGACAAUACUGAAUGGAUACAACUCACAGACCCUCGAAGAGGUGGACGUCAGGCUUAAGCACUUUUCAGCUCAGGAGUCUAGAGAGGGUGUAUAUUUCACGACAACUGUGGUCUUCCUCACCGGGGCAGACUUCCCAGACCAACACUCAACACGGUCACCUCCAACCGUGGAAACUCUCCCACGACGACUCAGAGCCUCAAGCUCAGACCUGUAGGACUGGUAACAGACAGACAGAGUUCCUUCACAAAUUUACUUAGCUUCAGUGAAUAUAUGGAAAAGGAUGCACCACCUCACGAUUUUGACCAAGAGUGGACAGGAGUACGGAUUGAAGUUGCUGCACGUUGGGCCUUCCACGGCCUCAGCUGGUGCCACCACGCUGGGUGACUUCAGGUAGGUUUGUGCCACCGGGUAUGUACCUCAGGAAUGACUCGAACGCUUCCCUCUCCUCUCUUCCAGACAACGGACCAGAGAUCUAGACAGGGGCGAACCUCUGAAAGCACUCCACAAACAGGUAUUCAUACACAAGGGCUACACAGCUGGAUGUUCGUAUAGCAGCCAAACACUUCUCUCAGUCGUCGUCCCCCACAAUAUGCACACUGUUCCUUACUUGCUAUUGUUGACACGUCACCACUCGGCGGAGUAGGGGUCCAAAGCCACGAGCGGGCAUGUAUAUAAAAGACGGUCGUCUCACAACACCGGUGCACGUUCUUCUCCACAGGAUUUUCUCUCCCAGCCUAGAGGGUGAUUGCUGACGACAUGACACAGCACGACACUGCAGACUUCAAGUGUACACACAGCAAAGAAAAGGACUCACCCACUGCACUCCACACGCUCACAGUGAAUUAGGGUCAAAACCACAUAGGACCGGGGAUUAGUUCCUGGACGUUGGGGGCACCGAUGCAACAGACGGCCAGAGGAAACGUCACAGCCACGACAAGGCACCAGACUCCUUUUUUUGCUGGUCCCGGCUCACCCACCAAUCCUAUUACGAUGGGGCCGCUCACACUGGUCACAACUCACAAGAGAUAACCGACAUCCGACACAACUGGCAGCACGAUCUCCUUCCUGCAAUCCUAGCAGAUCUUCAAUGGGUGCUAACUUCACAUCACACAAUGCAUCUGAACACAAUGCUCCAAUAAAGAUAUUCGUAUACUCA